rnacentral:rRNA from 1 species
AUUGAACGCUGGCGGCAUGCCUUACACAUGCAAGUCGAACGGAAACUGCCCUUCUGGUGCCGGCGAGUGGCGUGCGGGGGGGUAAUACGCCGUUCCGUGCCCGAUCGUGGGGGGUAACGGGGCGUAAUCUUUGCUAAUACCGCAUACGAUCUACGGAUUCAAGCAGGGGUCCGCCAGGGCUUGCGCGGACGGAUCGGGCGAUGGUAGCUUAGGUAGUCGGUGGGCUAAAAGCUUACCAAGAUGACGAUCUGUAACUCGUCUGAGAGGAUGAUCCGCCACACUGGGACUGAGACACGGCCGAGACUCCUACGGGAGGAAGCAGUGGGGAAUUCUGGACGAUGGGGGCAAGCGGGAUCCAGGCAUGCCGCGUGCAGGAUGAAGGCCUUCGGGUUGUAAACUGCUUUUGUACGUAGCGAAAAGCCUUCUUUUAAUACAGGAGGGUCAUGACGGUACCGGAAGAAGAAGCACCGGCUAACUACGUG